rnacentral:rRNA from 1 species
AUGGUGGCGGGCGUACCAGGUGGGUUCCUUGAUGGAGGUCUCCUCCUCGCCGGUCCACCGACGGAGCCGGCUCUCCGUGGCCGCCUCGUCGUCGCCCCCGCCUCCGCCGUGGAGCAUCAUGCCGCUGCCCGCGCCGCCGCCGCCUCCCGUGCCGUCGUUCAGGGCGUCGUCCGUGGCGCCGCUCCCGCCGCCGGGGUCCACGGCCAGCUUGAAGUUCAUGGCGGCGGCGAGGAACGGGGGCACGCCGGGAGGGGCCGCGCCGCCGGACGUGGCGCGGGAGCUCUCCGGGACCGCCGCCGCCUCCACGUCCAGCCCCAGCUGGUGGUGGUGAUGCUGCUGCUGCUGGUGCGGGUGCUGGUGGUGCUGCUGCUGCGGCGCCCACCUCGCCGGCGGCGGCUGCGGCUUGUGAUGCUGCUGCUGCUGCUGCUGCUGCUGCUGCUCGUGGUGGAAGAGCUGGAGGUGGUGGUGCUGCUGGUGGUGGUGCCCGGCGGCCGCCGCCUGGUGGUUGAGGAACUGCUGCGUGAACGGAAUCCCGCCGGCCGCCGCCGCCGCGGGCGCCACGCCGAAGUGCGCGAAGUGGGGCGGCAUCUGCGCCGGAUGCUGCUGCUGCUGCUGCUGGGGAUGGUGCUGCAUCGCGUGGUGGUGCAGCGGCUGGUACCUGAACGGCGCGCCCAGCUCCUGCCCCCCCGCCGCCGCCGCCGCAGCGGCAGCCGCCUGCGCCUGCUGCUGCGGGGCCGCCGCCAUGGCGAAGCCGCCGUCCAUGAUGAACUGCUGGAACUCCGACACCCCUCCAUACCCGGACUGCAUCUCGGCAAUGGCCGCCGCCGCCCCCCUCCCAACUCCACUCCACUCCCCACUCCCAGCAACUACCACCAGCACGGCUCACUCACCCCCGACCUGAAAUUACUCCGCCUCCCGCAUGAUUGGGCAACAGUGGCAGCUCCGGAAUUGAAAUGCGAGCAGGAAUCGGAAUUUGGUGGGCGAGGGUGA